rnacentral:rRNA from 1 species
UGAUUCAUGACUGGGGUGAAGUCGUAACAAGGUAGCCGUAGGGGAACCUGCGGCUGGAUCACCUCCUUAAUCGACGA